ACAUUUAYCUGGCAGGGGAGAUACCAUGUUCACGAAGGUGGUUUUCCCAGGGUGAGGCUUAUCUAUGUGCUGACCCCUGCAAUUUCCCCAAAUGUUGGAAAYUUGACCGCAUAAUUUGUGGUAGUGAGGGACUCUGC
ensembl:snRNA U1 U1 spliceosomal RNA